rnacentral:rRNA from 1 species
AUUGAACGCUGGCGGCAUGCCUUACACAUGCAAGUCGAACGGCAGCGCGGGGCAACCUGGCGGCGAGUGGCGAACGGGUGAGUAAUAUAUCGGAACGUACCCUGGAGUGGGGGAUAACGUAGCGAAAGUUACGCUAAUACCGCAUACGAUCUAAGGAUGAAAGUGGGGGCUUCGCAAGAACCUCAUGCUCCUGGAGCGGCCGAUAUCUGAUUAGCUAGUUGGAGGGUAAAAGCCUACCAAGGCAUCGAUCAGUAGCUGGUCUGAGAGGACGACCAGCCACACUGGAACUGAGACACGGUCCAGACUCCUACGGGAGGCAGCAGUGGGGAAUUUUGGACAAUGGGCGCAAGCCUGAUCCAGCAAUGCCGCGUGAGUGAAGAAGGCCUU